AUAUCAAUAAGCGGAGGAAAAGAAACCAACAGGGAUUGCCCUAGUAACGGCGAGUGAAGCGGCAACAGCUCAAAUUUGAAAUCUGGCUUCGGCCCGAGUUGUAAUUUGCAGAGGAAGCUUUGGGCGCGGCACCAACUGAGUCCCCUGGAACGGGGCGCCAUAGAGGGUGAGAGCCCCGUAUAGUUGGACGCCUAGCCUGUGUAAAGCUCCUUCGACGAGUCGAGUAGUUUGGGAAUGCUGCUCAAAAUGGGAGGUAAAUUUCUUCUAAAGCUAAAUACCGGCCAGAGACCGAUAGCGCACAAGUAGAGUGAUCGAAAGAUGAAAAGCACUUUGAAAAGAGGGUUAAAUAGCACGUGAAAUUGUUGAAAGGGAAGCGCUUGUGACCAGACUUGCGCCCGGCUGAUCAUCCGGUGUUCUCACCGGUGCACUCUGCCGGGCUCAGGCCAGCAUCGGUUCUCGCGGGGGGAUAAAGGCCCUGGGAACGUAGCUCCUCCGGGAGUGUUAUAGCCCAGGGCGUCAUGCCCCCGCGGGGACCGAGGUUCGCGCAUCUGCAAGGAUGCUGGCGUAAUGGUCAUCAGCGA
rnacentral:rRNA from 1 species